CCUGCCAUCACUUGAGAGAAUCAUUAACUAUCCUGAUACCCGAGUCCCCGAGGCCUCUCACCUGGAGCAGGUGAACACGGCGUCACCCUCCGGAGACGCAGCUCGAUUUAUAAGCCAACGCCUACAAUCUGGAGCCUCUGCCUGGGACACAUACAGAGGGAGGGGAUUGCUAGAUCAUAUGGAAAAUACGGCUUUUAAGCAAGACUGCCUAUGGAUUUGUACUGCUGUGCCCAAGAUUGCAAAUCCGAGAAACCACCAAGGAGCCGACACCUAUAUAAUCGCACAAGGGUUUAAUCACAAGCUCGAGCUUGGGUCCAAGUAUACCCGACACAGCGGAGCAGAGACUUGGACCCCGAGACUAAGAAGCACAGCAGUGUUAUAGGGGCUGGUGGCCAAUGAGAUCGUAACAUACAUAGAAAGUUGCACAGUCAUGUGGGUCCACACGCAGGUGGCCGAUCGAAUCACGAUCCACCCUAUAGUGACCAUUUGAAGUAGCCUAUUAUUCUGGUCAGAAUUGGUGUGCAGGUUUGGUGGGGGCAAAAGACGGGGUUUUCAUUCUUUGGUGGUUAAAGGUCAGAGGUCCCGCAUUCCUAUGUGUGCUGGUUUCUGAUAAGGGUGUGCUUAAUAGCUAAAGGAGGGUGAGGGAGUGCCUUAAACAGCAGGCAGGUCGUGUGGGGGUUUUACAUGAGGCGGCGGGUGUAGCACAAAAUGGAGUUAGUCCUGCUCUGCUUGUCCAGGGGUAGGGGAUUUUUGUUAGAUUUCCUGGGUCCCACAGUACCUUACUGACAGUUGAUGCUUAGAGAACACAUUUUAAGUGGAUGAUGGUCGAGAGGGGAAGGCGGGAAGACGAGUCAGUGAGUAUGUUGUAAGAUUUCCAGUUUGUGUUCGGGGGAGAAGAGAGAAAGGAAGGCAGAGGCCUAAGGCCUCGUUAACUCCAAUGAAGAUGCCACCAGUUGCCGUUGCUUCGGUUUCUCGCAGGCUAUUCUGGAGAAUUGGGAACCCUGGCGAUCUGACCACCUUGUAGUCCUUGCUGAGGAAGUGAGAGGAGAAAACACCCAACACCCAGAAGGGGCCGAGGCUUUAUUGUUCGUCUUUUGUGUGCCUGGCCCGAAGUGAGGCCUUUGGGGACAGGGUGGUGGCUGAGCGGGGGAGUGGGAAGCUCGGUCGAGAGUCAUGGUACA